rnacentral:rRNA from 1 species
GACGAACGCUGGCGGCGUGCCUAAUACAUGCAAGUAGAACGCUGAAGGAGGAGCUUGCUCUUCUGGAUGAGUUGCGAACGGGUGAGUAACGCGUAGGUAACCUGCCUGGUAGCGGGGGAUAACUAUUGGAAACGAUAGCUAAUACCGCAUAAUAGUAGAUGUUGCAUGAUAUUUACUUAAAAGGUGCAAUUGCACCACUACCAGAUGGACCUGCGUUGUAUUAGCUAGUUGGUGGGGUAACGGCUCACCAAGGCGACGAUACAUAGCCGACCUGAGAGGGGGAUCGGCCACACUGGGAAUGAGACCCGGCCCAGACUCCUACGGGAGGCAGCAGUAGGGAAUCUUCGGCAAUGGACGAAAGUCUGACCGAGCAACGCCGCGGGAGUGAAGAAGGUUUUCGGAUCGUAAAGCUCUGUUGUAAGAGAAGAACGAGUGUGAGAGUGGAAAGUUCACACUGUGACGGUAUCUUACCAGAAAGGGACGGCUAACUACGUG